GUGGGGGAUAUUGCACAAUGGGGGAAACCCUGAUGCAGCGACGCCGCGUGAAGGAAGACGUACUUCGGUAUGUAAACUUCUAUCAGCAGGGAAGAAGAUGACGGUACCUGACUAAGAAGCCCCGGCUAACUACGUGCCAGCAGCCGCGGUAAUACGUAGGGGGCAAGCGUUAUCCGGAUUUACUGGGUGUAAAGGGAGCGUAGACGGUGAAGCAAGUCUGAUGUGAAAACCCGGGGCUCAACUCCGGGAUUGCAUUGGAAACUGUUUUACUUGAGUGCUGGAGGGGCAAGCGGAAUUCCUGGUGUAGCGGUGAAAUGCGUAGAUAUCAGGAAGAACACCGGUGGCGAAGGCGGCUUGCUGGACAGUAACUGACGUUGAGGCUCGAAAGCGUGGGGAGCAAACAGGAUUAGAAACCCUGGUAGUCC
rnacentral:rRNA from 1 species